CGGACGGGUGAGUAACGCGUGGGGAACCUGCCCUGUACAGGGGGAUAACACUUAGAAAUAGGUGCUAAUACCGCAUAAGCGCACAGUAUCGCAUGAUACAGUGUGAAAAACUCCGGUGGUACAGGAUGGACCCGCGUCUGAUUAGCUGGUUGGCGAGGUAACGGCCCACCAAGGCGACGAUCAGUAGCCGGCCUGAGAGGGUGAACGGCCACAUUGGGACUGAGACACGGCCCAAACUCCUACGGGAGGCAGCAG
rnacentral:rRNA from 1 species